UCGCAACAAUGGUUAUUUUCUACUAAUCAUAAAGAUAUUGGUACUUUAUACUUUAUUUUCGGAGCAUGAUCAGGUAUAGUCGGAACUUCUUUAAGAAUUUUAAUUCGAGCAGAAUUAGGACAUCCUGGAGCAUUAAUUGGUGAUGAUCAGAUUUAUAAUGUAAUUGUUACUGCACAUGCAUUUAUUAUAAUUUUCUUUAUAGUUAUACCAAUUAUAAUUGGAGGAUUUGGAAAUUGAUUAGUUCCAUUAAUACUUGGAGCUCCUGACAUAGCCUUCCCUCGAAUAAAUAAUAUAAGUUUUUGACUACUUCCUCCUGCUCUUACCCUUUUAUUAGUUAGAAGAAUAGUAGAAAAGGGAGCUGGAACUGGUUGAACCGUAUAUCCACCUUUAUCUUCAAAUAUUGCACAUGGUGGGGCUUCUGUUGAUUUAGCUAUUUUUUCUUUACAUUUGGCAGGAAUUUCAUCAAUUCUAGGAGCUGUAAAUUUUAUUACUACUGUAAUUAAUAUACGAGCUACAGGAAUUACAUUUGAUCGAAUACCAUUAUUUGUUUGAUCAGUUGUAAUUACUGCUUUAUUACUUUUAUUAUCUCUUCCUGUUUUAGCUGGUGCUAUUACUAUAUUAUUAACAGAUCGAAAUUUAAACACUUCUUUCUUUGAUCCAGCAGGAGGUGGAGAUCCAAUUUUAUACCAACAUUUAUUUUGGUUUUUUGGUCAUCCAGAAGUUUAUAUUUUAAUUUUACCUGGAUUUGGAAUAAUUUCUCAUAUUAUUAGUCAAGAAUCAGGUAAAAAGGAAACUUUUGGGUCAUUAGGAAUAAUUUAUGCAAUAUUAGCAAUUGGUUUAUUAGGGUUUAUUGUUUGAGCUCACCAUAUAUUUACAGUUGGAAUAGAUGUUGAUACUCGAGCUUAUUUUACUUCAGCAACUAUAAUUAUUGCUGUACCUACUGGAAUCAAAAUUUUCAGAUGACUUGCAACACUUUAUGGUGCUCAAUUAACUUAUUCACCAGCUAUUUUAUGAGCUUUAGGGUUUGUAUUUUUAUUCACAGUUGGAGGAUUAACUGGUGUAGUUUUAGCUAACUCUUCAGUAGAUAUUAUUUUACAUGAUACAUAUUAUGUAGUUGCUCAUUUUCAUUAUGUUUUAUCAAUAGGAGCUGUAUUUGCUAUUAUAGCAGGAUUUGUUCAUUGAUAUCCUUUAUUUACUGGAUUAACAAUAAAUAAUAAACUUUUAAAAAGUCAAUUUGUAAUUAUAUUUAUUGGAGUAAAUUUAACUUUUUUCCCUCAACAUUUUUUAGGACUUGCUGGAAUACCUCGACGAUAUUCAGACUAUCCAGAUGCUUAUACUGCAUGAAAUGUUAUUUCUACAAUUGGUUCAACUAUUUCAUUAUUAGGAAUUUUAUAUUUAUUUUAUAUUAUUUGAGAAAGUUUAAUUUCUCAACGUCAAGUAAUCUUUCCAAUUCAACUAAAUUCUUCAAUUGAAUGAUUACAAAAUACACCACCUGCUGAACAUAGUUAUAAUGAAUUGCCUUUAUUAGUAAAUUUCUAAUAUGGCAGAUUAGUGCAAUGGAUUUAAGCUCCAUAUAUAAAGUAUUUUACUUUUAUUAGAAACUAAUGUCAACAUGAGCAAAUUUAGGUUUACAAGAUAGUUCUUCUCCUUUAAUAGAACAAUUAAUUUUUUUUCAUGACCAUGCACUUUUAAUUUUAGUAAUAAUUACAGUACUAGUUGGAUACUUAAUAUUUACCUUAUUUUUUAACAAUUAUGUAAAUCGAUUUUUACUUCAUGGUCAAACAAUUGAAAUUAUUUGAACAAUUCUUCCUGCAAUUAUUUUAUUAUUUAUUGCUUUUCCUUCUCUUCGACUUUUAUAUUUACUAGAUGAAAUUAAUGAACCUUCAAUUACAUUAAAGGCAAUUGGUCAUCAAUGAUAUUGAAGCUAUGAAUAUUCAGAUUUUAAUAAUAUUGAAUUUGAUUCUUAUAUAAUUCCAACAAAUGAAUUAAAUUUAGAAAAUUUUCGAUUAUUAGAUGUAGAUAAUCGAGUAAUUUUACCUAUAAAUUCACAAAUUCGAAUUUUAGUAACUGCUGCAGAUGUAAUUCAUUCAUGAACAGUUCCCGCUCUUGGGGUAAAAGUUGAUGGAACUCCAGGUCGAUUAAAUCAAACUAAUUUUUUAAUUAAUCGCCCUGGAUUAUUUUAUGGUCAAUGUUCAGAAAUUUGUGGAGCAAAUCAUAGUUUUAUACCAAUUGUAAUUGAAAGAAUUCCAGUAAAUUAUUUUAUUAAAUGAAUUUCAAAUAAUAAUUCUU